CUGGCGGCAAUUGCAGGCUUGUCUCUGAAAAGGAGCUAGUUCCGUUUUGUGUGUGUGUGUUCUGUGCUGUGAGCACUGCUACAGGGAGCUGAGUGGAGAGCUUGUGCAAUCUGGGAAACCACGAUUUGAAUGCAGUGACCUAUGACAAUGUGCAUGUUGACUUCAUUCAGGAAGAGUGGGCUUUGCUGGAUCCUUCCCAGAAGAAUCUCCAUAAAGAUGUGAUAGUGAAGACUACAGGAUCCUUACUGCUAUAGGACUGUAGUCUCCAAACACAUAAAAGAACACAUACAGGAGAGAAAGAAACCCUAUGAAUGUAGUCGAUGUGGUAAAGCCUUUCAUGUCACAGUAUUUUUUCAACUAAUAAAAGAACACAUUGGAGAGAAACUCUAUGAAAGUA